CAUAGGUUAAUGAGGCGAACCGGGGGAACUGAAACAUCUAAGUACCCCGAGGAAAAGAAAUCAACCGAGAUUCCCCCAGUAGCGGCGAGCGAACGGGGAGGAGCCCAGAGCCUGAAUCAGUGUGUGUGUUAGUGGAAGCGUCUGGAAAGGCGCGCGAUACAGGGUGACAGCCCCGUACACAAAAAUGCACAUAUUGUGAGCUCGAUGAGUAGGGCGGGACACGUGGUAUCCUGUCUGAAUAUGGGGGGACCAUCCUCCAAGGCUAAAUACUCCUGACUGACCGAUAGUGAACCAGUACCGUGAGGGAAAGGCGAAAAGAACCCCGGCGAGGGGAGUGAAAAAGAACCUGAAACCGUGUACGUACAAGCAGUGGGAGCCUCUUUAUGGGGUGACUGCGUACCUUUUGUAUAAUGGGUCAGCGACUUAUAUUCUGUAGCAAGGUUAACCGAAUAGGGGAGCCGAA
rnacentral:rRNA from 1 species